rnacentral:lncRNA from 10 species
GGAGAAGCAGGCUGGGUGUGCUCCAGGCUCCGGAAGCUCCAGCAGCCCCAGAGAUGAGGGUGGUCUGCCCCCCACACUCCCUGCCCCAGCCCAUCCUGGACCUUCUCCUGACACACAGCAAACCACACUUAGCUGUCAUUGAUGAAUCGGAGCCUCUGCCAGACAGCCGGCCAAGCCGACGCUAACUCACCCCACAGCCUGAAAUAGAAACUCGCUCGUUUUCCAGUGUGUGACAAAGAAGGAAGGACAUCAACUGGGAGUGGCCCAGAAGCCCGAAGCUGAGAGGACAAAGCUCACUGGGGAGGGAAUAUUGAAAUUGGAACCACAACACUUGGGUAUAUCAGGUUGGAAAAGACAGUUCAACAGAUGGCUGGUCACCUUGAUUGAGUAGAAUGCCACUGGAAGACCACAAAUCUCUAAACCAUAGUGAAGAAUUGGCCAAGGGGAGCAAAAUCCAAUCAAUUCAAGGGGUUCCCCUUUCCAGGGUCUUGGACAGCGAGGUGACAUGAAAUGGCCGUUCUAGUCUAUGCAAUGGCAGCAUGAACACAGAAAGCUGAAACGGGGGAUCAGUUCUGCAGCCAAGAGACAUUAAAGCUCAAAGCACAGGAAAAGAGAGUGGAGGGGCUGCUGCCCCAGGAAGGCUGGGCCCACCCCUCCUCACAGGCACCCUGAUGCCUGUUCAGCUUGGCUCUCUGGAUGACAGGCAGAAGCCCCAGUUGCUUCUCUUCUCCACGGUGAUUUCUGCAUACUUUAUCCAAACCCCCUCCCCACCGCUGUUCAGUUUCUGGCUCCUCUUCCUGCCCGUGCUCUGAGGCCAGCUGGGGGCCUCCCAGGUGACUCCUGCUGCUGCUGUCACUGGACCCUGACGCUGUGCCGCACCCGAAUUCCUCCGAAUGGAGCCUUGGCCAGAGCAAGGCGUGCCGUGUAGAGGAGCGGAUCUGAGCCUGGCAGGAGAUCGCUAAAACCUUUGCCCUUCACACAAACGCGGAAGCACGGGGCGGGUGCUGAAGAGCCAAGCAAGUGUCCCCCAUUUCCUUCCAAGGCAGAGCAGCAGCCCAGGGAGGCCCAGUUUCCAUCGCGGCAGAAGGGCAGAAGAGUGGGGGAGGUCCCAGGACCACAGCCCAGGGGACACUCAGGAUGCGCCAGGAAGGACAUGGCAGACAGGCCCUUUAGGUGGAAAAGCAACCCUCAGCUGCCCAGAGAGCGGCCCCUCCAGGCCCUCCCCGCCGUCUGCAAAGCUCUUCAGCUGGGAGAGGAGGAAAGGGUUUGUUCUUGACCUCCUUCCUUUCCUUUCUUCUCCACUGUCCACCAGAGAGCAGGAAGACAGGCUGAUGCUCUUGUUAAAGAUGAAGGCAUAAUUCACAUGCCAUAAAAUUCACCAUUUUAACCAUUUUAAGGUGCACAGUUCAGUGGUUUUGAGUGCAUUACAUUGUUGGGCAACCAUCAGCAUGGUCUAAUUCCAAAACAUUUCUGUCACUCCAAAAAGAAAUCUUGUACCCAUUAGCAGUCACUCCCCAUUUCCCCCUACCCCCCAGCCCCCCGGCACCCACGAAGGUGCUUUCUCUGUUUCGAGGGAUCUUCCUAUUGUGGCAAAUCCUCUGAAUGGAAUCAUACAAUAUGUGGUCUUCUGCCACUGGCUUCUUUCACUGACCAUAAUUUUUCAAGGUUCACCCACGUUGUAGCAUGCGUCAGCGCUUCAUUCCUUUCCAUGGCUGGACUGUAUUUCAUUGUAUGUCUGGACCACAUUCUGUUUCUCUAGUCAUCAGUUGAUUACUUACUUUUCAGGGCCCACUUAGCCUUUCUUCCCAAGGGCAGGGGCUCUGUUGUCCACUGUUUUGGAGUCUUCCAGCAGACUUGAUGGAGUGUACCAGUGGUUUCCUUGCUGGGCAAAUAACCAGAGGGUCCCUGGGUACGGGAAUCUCUGAGUCCUGAUCUUUGGCUCUGCUGCAGACCAGGUCACUGUAUGAUCUUUUAGCAGCCUCUUUACCUCACCUGGCCUCAGUUUCUUCAUCUGAAAAAUGAAGGGCUUGAAGCAGAUGGUCUCUAACACUUCUCCUGGCCCAACACUUUAAGAUGUUUCAGCAAAGCAGUGAAGAAGCAGCCUUCUGUGACCUUUCUGAACAAGGCAGAGGAAAGCAAGCUGUAGGCUGACAUAGUUAGGUGAUUCCAUAACAAAAUUGCGCUGUAAACAAUCAUCUGGAUCAAUCGACAGAAGGCACUUGCAACAGGUUCCCAGAUGACAGAAAACUAUAGGAAUGACAGGGAAGGAAUGAUGGGGCAGAUUAAAAUGGAGAAAUUUAACAGGGACAAAUGUAAAAGUCGGACAUUUUGCUCCAAAGUUCAACAGAACAGCUACCUGCUUUGUUGGAUAUGUUCAGGCAGUGUCCUUUAUAAGAGUUUGAUUGACUCUAAAUGAAUCUCAUUAUGAGUCACCAUUGGGACAGGCUGCCAAAAGGCCAAUGUGACUUCAGAUUAAAUCAAUAGAGGUCUACUGGCUGAAACAAGGGAGGUGACAUUAUUGAGUCCAUCCCUGGUGUAUGUAGCUGCUACCCUCUGAGAAGGAGGCCCCCAAUAGGAAAAGCCAGAGGGAGGAUGGAUAAGACAUGAAGAGCUCUAGAACCAUGGUUUGGUAGUAGGAGGGGCUCAGGGUUUGGGUCUUUAAAAGAUAAGACAGAGAGUGCUGUUCACAUCUGUGAAGGAACAUGGCAUGAGAAGGGGAGUUGACUUCCACCAUGGGGACCUGCAGGGUGACUGGGGCUGGAAGAUGAUCAAUUGUGACCCAGGACCAGGAAGAACUUCGCAGCAACAAAAGUCACAGGAAAUGGAAAAAACUCCUGGUGAAGAACACAG